GGCCGCACGCACUUCGUGCUCCGGGCGGCCCUCGCCCCGCGGGCGGCGCAGGUGCCGCUGGAGGCCGGCGCCCGGCUGCCACUUUACAGCCCCGGCGGGGAGGGCAGUCACGCUAUAUUUCAGGGACUGGGACGGAGUUCGCGGAAUCUCCUUGUUAUCGGAACGUGGGUAGCGUUGGGUAAUAACCGCUCGGACAGGAUGUAGGAAGCGCAGUGGGAACAGAGCUGUCCCGUCUUCAUUGAUGCCGCAUUUCCUUGGAGAGACCUCGUUCGUGUGGUGACGUAAAAGCCCCAAGGGCAUCAGACCCCAGAACCUGAGUUCUUUCUCAAGAACAUGUGAGCAAAAUAUUUUUCCAGUCAGGUAUUUACAGUAUUUACAUAAUUUGAAGUUUGUAGAUUUGCAGAUAAACUGUGUUUGAAAGGCAAAACAAAGAUGACACUAAGAUGGCUUAACACAAAACUACCCCCAUUUAAUUGAAAGGUCGAAAA
ensembl:lncRNA